CCGCCACUCACGGGGGGGAGGAGAAGGGAGGGGGGAAUGUCACCCAGAGCCCCAGACCCUGGGGAGAGAGACAGUCAUUCACCAUCAGCCCUAUGGACUUGUCAAGGUCUGGGGAGAGGCUAAGUGGGAGUGGAAGAGAAGCAGGAAGUUACAGAGAAAGUGGUGAAGUGCAGUGCAUUCUAUAGGCCUGUUGCCUGUUAACUGCAGUCUUGGUGAAUAUCAAAAAAAGGUGUGUGAAGGAGCUUUCAUUAUUGUAAUUUCUACAUAAGCCCAGAUCCUGCAGUUGACUCUGUGUGGGUGGGACUCUAUUGAAGUCAAUGAGACUCCACACUGGGGAUGGGUUCUCCUCAUGAGAAGUCAGUUGCAUGGUCGGGAUCCUAGUUUGACGCCUCAGGGUGCAUUCCGGAGCCUGCUUACCAAGAUAAUAAAUACAGGCCCAGAUUCUUUUCUUCUGUUUCAUCCACUGCACUGUUCAGGAAUCUGGUUCUAACUGGUC
rnacentral:lncRNA from 1 species